rnacentral:rRNA from 1 species
UACGUAGGGGGCAAGCGUUGUCCGGAUUUAUUGGGCGUAAAGAGCGUGUAGGCGGCUCGCUAAGUCUUGCGUGAAAUCUCGGGGCUCAACCCCGAGCGGUCGUGAGAAACUGGCGGGCUAGAGUGCGGGAGAGGAGAGUGGAAUUCCUGGUGUAGCGGUGAAAUGCGCAGAUAUCAGGAAGAACACCCGUGGCGAAGGCGGCUCUCUGGAACGCAACUGACGCUGAGACGCGAAAGCGUGGGGAGCAAACAGG